GGUGGGGAGAGACGCACUCCCGGAGCCCUCCUGUUCCUGGCAGACUUCUGGCCACGUCCAAGGGCCUUGCUCCAGAAAAUGCAGUGUCUGUGUGGCGUGGAAACGAGUCCUAGCCUGUGUUACCCAGAGCCCUGAGGACCUGCAGUGACAGCGAUGGGAAGGGGGUGACUGCACAUCAGAGGAUGCAGGCCAGGACACUGCACUGGGCUUAUCGUCUCGUCUCCCCCAGGCCGCUCUGCACUUUGUCACACCAUUUCUGGUACCUGCUCUGGGCCAGUGCUAGGACCCGAGAGCAAAUGCAUUUAGCUCACUUGGUAAUUGAAUUAAGGAAACUGUCUUCUCAAGCGUUGUAAGCUGUUGCUAUAAUAAAGAAGAAGAAAGGAUAACUUGAAAGUACUUCCCUGCACAACCGGGACAAACUCGUUAUUACCGAAAGCUGAGCAAUUCCAUCAAGGCCCAGUCGGCUCUGAUAUAACAGGCAUUCUGCAGAGGCCAGAUUAAAACCGCGAGUCAACAGAAAUUUCCUUUCUUUGGGGAGCCCUUGCCGACCCCCAUUUAGAGCUGAUGCUUCCCUCGUGGGCCCUGGACAUGCUUUUAUUUCUGUACGUAUGACUGUAUUUUGAUUAUCUCUGGGUCUGUCUUGCGCCACUUUGACCGCGCAAAUGUGUGUGUCAUGAGAGCCUGGACUGGGUCGUGCUCAGGGAAGAGUUACAGAGGAGUAGCAGGGCUGCCUCCUGAACUGAGUGAACAGCCCCGUCUUCCACAGCCAUGCACUUCCUCCAUGGAGCGACCUGUUAGUGUUUUACGUCUGGAUGGGCCCGUCUUUCAGCACACCGCAGCAGCUAUGGGGUGUGAUGUCCACAUCACUGGAAUGCGGGAAAGGGCGGCCUUGUGGGGCCUGUGGCAUCCAGGAGACUUGCGCCUUGAUGGUCCGAGUCUCUGGGCUUGUCAGGCAGCUCAUCAUGGCAGUGGUGGGUGGGGAACUGAGAGGAACCCAGAGAGGCCCUGAACUUGGAAGAAAAAUCAGUGUUUGUCCCGGAGUGUAUUGGAUCAUAAACGUGCCUCUAGUUGCACAAGCGCUUUCUGGCUCCUGCCUGGCUCAGGUGAGCCUCUGCUGAUGAGGGAAGGGCCUGCCCCGC